CAGGCCUACCUUGGCAGUUUUUAUCAGGCCACUUGUUUGCGCGCCACGACGCGAUCCAGACCCUGAUGUGGGCACUCGGCGAGGGCGAGGCAAUGGCGGCGGCUGCGGGCGCGGCAAUGGCGGCGGCUGCGGGCGCCAGUGCAAGCAGUCCGUUGUGUUCACCCGCACUCCCGCUGCGCCUCCCGGCGGCUCGCUAACCCUAGUGGAUGUAGAACCCGCCGCCGGCGGCGCCAUCCACCACGGGAAGGGGCGCCUGGAUUCGCAAGUCGCACGCAUGGCGGUGAUUUGCGGUCCCACAGGAGGCUCCAAAGCUCCAUGGCAUCUCGGUCAUGUUCCCCCUGCCUGCUGCUCUCGCAACAUUUGGAAUCUGAGUUUUGCAAUCUCAAGAUGACUCAUGUGCUGUCCAAUUAAUGCUGUGUUAGGUUUAACUGAAUCACAUUACCAUGCUACACAUAUUGGCAGCAAGAAUCAGCAUGACAGUUUACUCUACGUUCCCUACGUGUUAUUCCAUCUGACUUCUGAACAAUUAUCAAUUGCAAGUUCAAAUUUCAUGGCUGGAGUUGGCAUGCUAUCAGUUAAAGAGAGCAUGAUCCACUUUACAA